rnacentral:rRNA from 1 species
UACGUAGGUGGCAAGCGUUGUCCGGAUUUACUGGGCGUAAAGGGCGUGCAGGCGGUCUGUUAAGUGCAGGGUGAAAGCUCCCGGCUCAACUGGGAGAGGUCCUUGCAUACUGGCGGACUUGAGGGGGGUAGAGGAAAAGUGGAAUUCCCGGUGUAGUGGUGAUAUGCGUAGAUAUCGGGGAGGAACACCUGUGGCGAAGGGCGGCUUUCUGGGCCCCUACCG